GGCAGCUUGGCGCAGUUGGUUAGCGCGCUUGCUUCACAAUUGUCGAAAGGCAUUGUGUGGUCGCAAGAGGUCCUGGGUUCGACCCCCAGAGUCGUCA